rnacentral:rRNA from 1 species
CCCAGACUCCUACGGGAGGCAGCAGUGGGGAAUAUUGCACAAUGGGGGAAACCCUGAUGCAGCGACGCCGCGUGAGUGAAGAAGUAUUUCGGUAUGUAAAGCUCUAUCAGCAGGGAAGAAGCAAGACGGUACCUGACUAAGAAGCCCCGGCUAACUACGUGCCAGCAGCCGCGGUAAUACGUAGGGGGCAAGCGUUAUCCGGAUUUACUGGGUGUAAAGGGGGCGCAGACGGCAGCGCAAGCCAGGAGUGAAAGCCCGGGGCCCAACCCCGGGACUGCUCUUGGAACUGCGCGGCUGGAGUGCAGGAGGGGCAGGCGGAAUUCCUGGUGAAGCGGUGAAAUGCGUAGAUAUCAGGAGGAACACCGGUGGCGAAGGCGGCCUGCUGGACUGCGACUGACGUUGAGGCCCGAAAGCGUGGGGAGCAAACAGGAUUAGAUACCCUCGUAU